rnacentral:misc_RNA from 1 species
GAAGUUUACAAAGAAAAAAUCCUGGAGCACUUGCUAUGGCUUAUGCUAACGGUGUCGCAUAUUUGAACGGGUCGGCGAGCAGAGCUCACUCACCUGCUGGUGAACAGUUGGCGGUUAACCAAGCAGCAGCCGCAGCAGUCAUCCGCCAAAAUGAAGACGUAGUUAACGGACAUUUAUGUGAAAGAGCCCACACUGCCUCCUCCUCCUCCUCCUCGGAAUCGUUUUAUCGCACUAACGAUGUUAACGACACAAUGGCCAGAAUUCGGAACAGACAGAAAUCUACAAAGACAUCGGAGAAGACUGCAACCAUACUCGGCUCAGGAGAGAGCCCGACGCAUGUUUGUGCUGAAUUAAAGGCAGCAUCAGUUCAGUCCGAUUUGAACAGAAGUGAACAUAAUUACUGUUCAGUCUGUGCAGUCAGCACGUUAGACAGAGGAAACGACAUGUGUCAGGCCUGUUCUAUGCUUGGACACUAUCAGGCCUCCUAUGAAGGCAGACACCCCAGUCCUUACUUAAACUAUUUCCGUAAACUUUUGCCUAGCUGGCUGUUUGAACCAGAAUAUAUGAUGCAUGGUAAACCGAAGACAGACCAAGAUGCAAUUCACAGACAUACAGAUUCUUUAUUUAGUACUUCAAGUGGAUUCACGAACUAUCGAGGAUUGUUGAACUUGGCUCUUAUUCUUCUGGUUCUCUCCAACACUCGGCUAUUCCUUGAAAACCUUAUCAAGUAUGGGAUACUAAUUAACCCUUUUGUUUAUAUGGAAUGGUUCAUCGAUGAGCCUUACAACUGGCCUAAUGUGCUGCUGACAUUAUCAGUGUCAGUUUUUCCAUGCAUUUCUUUUGGGAUUGAGUGUGCCCUUGCCAAGGACUGGAUAUCAGACAAGACUGGAUUCUUUCUGCAUACCAUCAACAAUACAGUAUUGCUGGUAUACCCAGCUGUAAUUAUCUACAUCAAGCAUCCCAAUCCAGUUUUCUCAGCUUUCACUCUUGGCAUUGUCACCAUAGUGUUUUUAAAGAUGAUUUCUUAUGGUCAUGUCAACUACUGGUGCCGCCUUCACCUUCGAAAUGGUGGCAACAGGCUUAGCCGUCGACGCAAAACUGUUAGUGCAACUAAUGACACGCAUUCUGAUUCAGAGAAGACAAUUGAAGAAAAGAAUCUGGGCAGUGUAAUAGUUUAUCCUAAAAACCUAACUUUGAGUGAUUUGUGCUACUUCUUGUGCGCACCAACUCUGUGCUAUGAACUGAAUUUCCCUCGAUCAGCCAGAAUCCGAAAGAGAUUUCUUGCCAAAAGAAUGCUAGAAAUGCUCUUUUUGACCUCCUUAAUGCUGGGGUUAGUGCAACAGUGGAUUGUACCAACUGUCAACAACUCCUUGAAGCCACUUAGUGAGAUGGAUUUUUUCAGAGUCAUGGAGCGUCUUCUUAAACUUGCUGUGCCAAACCAUUUCAUCUGGCUCAUUUUCUUCUACUGUAUGUUUCACUCCAUGCUGAAUGUGUCAGCUGAGCUGCUUAGAUUUGGGGACAGGGAGUUUUACAAGGACUGGUGGAAUGCAGAAAAUGUAUCAGAGUUUUGGCAGAAUUGGAACAUUCCUGUUCACAGAUGGGCAUUAAGGCAUGUCUACAAGCCCCUUUUAAGAAGAGGUACCUCCAAGAUGGUGGCCUCCCUAGCAGUUUUUGUUCUCUCAGCAUUUUUUCAUGAGUACCUUGUGAGCAUUCCUUUGCGCAUGUUUAAGGUGUGGGCCUUCAUGGGGAUGGUGAUGCAGGAACCUGUGUGGCUCUGAAUUUUUAGAAUUUUCCGAAUUUUCUCCGCCUACAGCUGCUGACAAGGCAUGUGAGAGAGACUAAAAAAACUGUCACCGAUCCAUUGACUGGCCAUCAACAGAGAAUGUUUCUCUCACCUUCAGUCUCGCCCUCCUCACUGGAAAUCAAUAUAGUGCCUGCGAAUUGGAGGAGAAAAAAAAAAGGUCAGCUUCUGGGACAUUGUAUAAGUGAGUGGCAGCCACAGUAAACUUUGCUAUAAACUACACACAGAAGAAAUCUAACCUUCAUCCAACACCUAAAUUUCUAAUCAUAGAUUUGCUCAUCUCUUUUGUACAGUCUUAUAUGUGGCAUGAUUUCACUCCAGUUUUAUAAAGCUACAAACAGAUAACUUCUGACAGAGCUAUGU